UACGUAGGUGGCAAGCGUUGUUCGGAAUUACUGGGCGUAAAGCGCACGCAGGCGGAUUUAUAAGUCAGAGGUGAAAUCCCGGGGCUUAACCUCGGAAUUGCCUUUGAUACUGUCUAUCUUGAGUCCGGGAGAGGUGAGUGGAAUUCCUAGUGUAGAGGUGAAAUUCGUAGAUAUUAGGAAGAACACCAGUGGCGAAGGCGGCUCACUGGCCCGGUACUGACGCUCAUGUGCGAAAGCGUGGGGAGCAAACAGG
rnacentral:rRNA from 1 species